GUUUUGAAUUUUCUAAUUGUCUAAUCAAACUAGUCGCAUGCUACUUGUUUUCCAACUUGUUACGCCCUAAUUGCUGGUGAGAUGGUUCCAGAAAAUCUUAAAACAGUUGUCCAGAAUAUUACCAUUCAUUUGAAUAAAUCUGCAUAAUGCUCGAUAGAAAAAAAAAACAGGGCUUUUUAGAACAACACGUGUCGUAAAGAAAGAAAUGUAUAGUAGUUUCAAGGGGCAACAACAAAACAAAUUGGAAUUGAAUAAUUAAAAGGGAGAAAAUCGACCAUUUUCUUUUUAUUCCCAAGAGGGUUUUCUCUAGAGAUUUUGAAAUUAAGGGGAUGGGUUAGCUUUUUGGUCGAAAACAAAAUGCCAAAUGGCCUUGGAAUUUGUUUGCAAAUCGUUCCCUUCCUCUAUGACUCAUCGAAACCUUUUGAAAAGUGCACACACGAUUAGCAUAAUUUUCGAUUUCCCCAGAGCUUUUUUCAGAAGAAACCCCCAGUUUGUGUUUGACUUUCCUGGAAGAAACAGUGGCAGACUGUCGUAGUCAUAAUUGGGGUCCUAAUUUUGGCUAAAAAUGUGAAAAGUGAACCGUUGAUUCGUCGUUGCUGUGAGUGUUUAUCACCUGCUGCUUCUCCAAGUCCAAUAAAUGCUGCAAUUCCAAGACGAAUGGUCACGUGCAGCUGGAAGGCCUCUUUUAUUUUCUUUUUCGAUGUGUCCGACUGCUUUGCUUGUGCCGCAUCGUUUCCGAGCCGAUGAUCUUCCAAGAGAUCGGGGGCUACUGGCGCGCGAGUUCUUCCAUCCCCAUAAUCGAUUCCAGGGAAUAAAAAAAAAAAAAAAAAACUCGGCUCAGUGAUUUGCUAGUAUCUAUUGCUUUUCUUUUCCUUCUUGCAAUGUAUACGCACAGCUAAAAAAAAAGAUGGGGGAACCAUUUUCAAUUUGAUCUCGCAGGACGCGGGUGGUCCUUGUCGUCAUUGUCGUCUAGUCAUAGAUUUUCUUCUCUCUCUUUCCCCCUUCAAUUUUGUUGAAUUCGAAUCGACUACAUCAUCUUCUUCUCGGAGACAUGCUCCGUCUUUGCGCUUGAAUUCAUCUCGGCGUUUUUCUUUUCCACUUCAUCCGCCGUGCAUGUACGUUACCGUCUCCACCCCCUGUACUCGGUAUCAAAACGUGAUGGUUGACU